UAAUUAAUUGAUUUGGUUAUAUAAAAUAUUACAAAAUACUUUUAUUUAAUAUAAAUAAAUUGUUUAUUUCUCAAAAUUGUUAUGUUCAUCAAAAAUUAAAAUUAAGAUCUUUGCACUUCAUAUGAGAUGAAAUUAUACAUUUUUGGAAUGAGAAAAGUAAACAAAACAUGUUUUUAUUAUAAAGAAAAAGAGUUGAAUGACAGAUGACAUUGAUUACAGUUUCAAUUCACGUUAUGUCCAUGUUUUGAAUAAAUUCAAAAUCUAUGUCCAGUAUCAUUUUACUGCUAAUGAAAGCUUAGUUAUAUCAAGUUAUUUCAAGAAUAUUAAUAUUAAUAUGACUAAACGUUUUCAAAGUCCGAAAUAUGGUAUUUUUAUAUAAUCUCUUACAUAAUUGCCCAGUCCGUUAAAUAUGUCAAAUCAUCGAAAUAUUCGAUGAGAUAUCGAAGGAAAGGUUUAUUUCUUCUUCAAAACUUUUAUUUGAAAUAUUUUUUUAUAAAACCAAUUAUGAUAUGAAAUCAAAUAUGUUUAUAAAACCAAUAUGAUUGAAGAUAUUUGGCCAUAUAGUUUAAAAUGAGACAUCCUAUAUAUUAUGUUGGCACUACUAGCAGUUAUAAAAUCUGGAACUCUAAUCAUGAAAUAAUUGUGUAUGUGUACUAAAAUAUAUGUAUUAGGUUGGAAACUAUGAAACGGGCGUUGAAUGAAAAUAAAAACUAAACAAAGUUUCAUAGUUUCUAAUCUAAUACUUAUAAUAUAUUACAUAAUGUAUUAGGUUGGAAACUAUGAAACGGGCGUUGAAAAUAAACUAAACAAAAGCGCCCGUUUCAUAGUUUCCAACAUAAUGUAAAAGUAACUUGCAAAUGAAAAAUUCUUUAAUAUAUUAGUCUUGAUAAUAAGAAGUCCAAUGUGCGUUUUUGUCGUGUAUGAUAUAAGAAAUGGUUGUUUCUAUGCAUUUCAAGAAAAAAAUUUUACAUUGCAAUAAUAACAGUUGAAAAAAUCUAAAAUAAGCAAAAAUAAAUAUAUAAUGUCGCAAGAAAAUAUUUUAAACGCACCAAUUAUUUUUUAUUUUUAAAGUUUUUCUAUAUAUAUAUAUAUAUACAGAAAAUGUUUGUUAUCAGUAUUUUUACAAAGUACGUAUAUUAUUCGUCAUUACCAAAUGUAAAUUAAUGCAACAGAACAUUGAUACGUUCUUAAUUGUGAAUACAAUAUAUUUAUAUUCAAGGCCAACGCAUUAAAAUAUAUUCAAGGCCAACGCAUUAAAAUAUAUUUGUAUUGCAAACAUGUAUAGAAUAGAGCUUAAUAUUAUGUAAUAUUUUAAUCUAUUCGUAUAUCUUGAUCCUAAAGUCAUUUCUAUUCUGUAUUUCAUAUAAUCUUUACUCUUUUUAAAUAUAAAUGCAGAGCUUAUACUUUCGAUAUAACAAAAUAUGUAACAUCAUUAUUUCUGAAAUUAUUUGAGACAUCUAUGAAUACAUUGAAAUCUUAAAGCUGUUCAUCAACCUUGGUUUUUUUUACACCAUCAAUGAGAACAAGCGUAAUUCUCGACCGAUUUUGACGAACGAGGUCUCAUUUUAAAGAUGAAGGUUUAAUCUACGGCGCUUUUUUGGAAGAUUUUUGAAAAAGCUUUAUUUUUUUUUUAAAUAAUCGUAUUAAAAAAUAGUAUUUUUCAAGAAUGGCUUAUGCACAAAUAAAAAGCUUUUUAAAAAGGCCACUGUUCAUUAAAAGUUCAUCAAAAUUAAUCGAAACUUAUUUCUGUUCUCCUUGAGAACACAAAUACUGUUUUCGACAGUUUUCGCGAAGAAAACGUUUACUACUGUGGCGCCCUUCGAAAUUUGCGGUAAAAGAGAUGAAGCUCGUACCCCCACUACUGAUUUUCAUAUCACACUUGAAUGAUGUAUGUUUAUGCCCGCGAAGUAACGAUUGUCUGCUUGGUUGUUUGUGUAAAUAGCUGAUACUCAUAUUUUUUAAAUAUUACAAACGCAAAGAAAUGGUUUUCAUGAAGCUCGCACGGAAAAGCUAUGGUGUUAUUAUCCAAAAAAUUAUCCAAUCUCAUAUUUAUUUUUUCUACUGAUGGCUGAUGUGAAUUUCAUGGUGAUCUGUGCAGAUAGGAUACAACAGUAAUAUAAUUUUAUUCGCUGACAAAUGCAUAUAACGUAUAUAUACAUUUGUCGAUUAUUUGUUCAAAAUUAAUAAUUAGUGAACAUAUAUAUUAUAUAUUAUUUUUAAUAAAGAUCGAAACACGAA